rnacentral:tRNA from 1 species
GCAUCGGUAGUUCAUUGGUAAACUACUCGCCUGCCAUGCGGGCGGCCCGGGUUCGAUUCCCGGCCGAUGCA